GGCGGUUAGAUAANUCUGAAGUUAAAGGCUGUGGNUUAACCAUAGUACGCUUUGGAAACUGUUUAACUUGAGUGCAGAAGGGGAGAGUGGAAUNCCAUGUGUAGCGGUGAAAUGCGUAGAUAUAUGGAGGAACACCGGUGGCGAAAGCGGCUCUCUGGUCUGUAACUGACGCUGAGGCUCGAAAGCGUGGGGAGCGAACAGGAUUAGAUACCCUGGUAGUNCACGCCGUAAACGAUGAGUGCUAGGUGUUAGGCCCUUUCCGGGGCUUAGUGCCGCAGCUAACGCAUUAAGCACUCCGCCUGGGGAGUACGACCGCAAGGUUGAAACUCAAAGGAAUUGACGGGGGCCCGCACAAGCGGUGGAGCAUGUGGUUUAAUUCGAAGCAACGCGAAGAACCUUACCAGGUCUUGACAUCCCGAUGCCCGCUCUAGAGAUAGAGUUUUACUUCGGUACAUCGGUGACAGGUGGUGCAUGGUUGUCGUCAGCUCGUGUCGUGAGAUGUUGGGUUAAGUCCCGCAACGAGCGCAACCCUUAUUGUUAGUUGCCAUCAUUCAGUUGGGCACUCUAGCGAGACUGCCGGUAAUAAACCGGAGGAAGGUGGGGAUGACGUCAAAUCAUCAUGCCCCUUAUGACCUGGGCUACACACGUGCUACAAUGGCUGGUACAACGAGUCGCAAGUCGGUGACGGCAAGCUAAUCUCUUAAAGCCAGUCUCAGUUCGGAUUGUAGGCUGCAACUCGCCUACAUGAAGUCGGAAUCGCUAGUAAUCGCGGAUCAGCACGCCGCGGUGAAUACGUUCCCGGGCCUUGUACACACCGCCCGUCACACCACGAGAGUUUGUAACACCCGAAGAC
rnacentral:rRNA from 1 species